GUGGGGAAUCUUGCGCAAUGGGCGAAAGCCUGACGCAGCCAUGCCGCGUGAAUGAUGAAGGUCUUAGGAUUGUAAAAUUCUUUCACCGGGGACGAUAAUGACGGUACCCGGAGAAGAAGCUCCGGCUAACUUCGUGCCAGCAGCCGCGGUAAUACGAAGGGGGCUAGCGUUGCUCGGAAUUACUGGGCGUAAAGGGCGCGUAGGCGGACAGUUUAGUCAGAGGUGAAAGCCCAGGGCUCAACCUUGGAAUUGCCUUUGAUACUGGCUGUCUUGAGUUUGGGAGAGGUGAGUGGAACUCCGAGUGUAGAGGUGAAAUUCGUAGAUAUUCGGAAGAACACCAGUGGCGAAGGCGACUCACUGGCCCAAUACUGACGCUGAGGCGCGAAAGCGUGGGGAGCAAACAGGAUUAGAAACCCUAGUAGUCC
rnacentral:rRNA from 1 species